rnacentral:rRNA from 1 species
GUCGCAAGACGAUGUAUAGGAGCUGACGCCUGCCCGGUGCUGGAAGGUUAAGGGGAUCUGUUAGAGCAAUCGAAGCAGUGAACUUAAGCCCCAGUAAACGGCGGCCGUAACUAUAACGGUCCUAAGGUAGCGAAAUUCCUUGUCGGGUAAGUUCCGACCCGCACGAAAGGCGUAACGAUUUGGGCACUGUCUCAACAACAGACUCGGUGAAAUUGUAAUUCCGGUGAAGAUGCCGGAUACCUGCGACAGGACGGAAAGACCCCAUGGAGCUUUACUGUAGCUUGACAUUGGGUCUUGGUACUACAUGUACAGGAUAGGUGGGAGGCUUUGAAACCAGGACGCCAGUUUUGGCGGAGCCAUCCUUGGGAUACCACCCUUGUAGUACUGGGACUCUAACCAUAGGCCAUGAAUCUGGUCUUGGGACACUGUCAGGUGGGCAGUUUGACUGGGGCGGUCGCCUCCCAAAAGGUAACGGAGGCGCUCAAAGGUUCUCUCAGUACGGUCGGAAAUCGUACGUAGAGUGUAAAGGCAAAAGAGAGCUUGAUUGCAAGACAUACAGGUCGAGCAAGGAUGAAAAUCGGACUUAGUGAUCCGGUGGUUCUGCGUGGAAGGGCCAUCGCUCAACGGAUAAAAGCUACCCUGGGGAUAACAGGCUUAUCUCCCCCAAGAGUCCACAUCGACGGGGAGGUUUGGCACCUCGAUGUCGGCUCAUCACAUCCUGGGGCUGUAGUAGGUCCCAAGGGUUGGGCUGUUCGCCCAUUAAAGUGGUACGCGAGCUGGGUUCAGAACGUCGUGAGACAGUUCGGUCCCUAUCCGUCGCAGGCGUAGGAAAUUUGAGAAGACCUGUCCUUAGUACGAGAGGACCGGGAUGGACG